rnacentral:lncRNA from 1 species
CGCCUAGGCCUCAGGCCUGGAGCUGCGAUUUCCCAGUUUCUGAGCACUUUCCCUCACCCCGGGCCUACAGGUUCGCCUCGGCCAUUGCUAGAGGACAGCCUGGAGCAGCACCUCACCCAUGGACACAUCCCCUCGUCCGGCAGGGCCCCUUCCACUAUUUAUUUGUGUAUUUAUUUAUUUAUCUAUUUAUUAUUCUAUUUAAUCUCUUGGCUUCACCCAGGGACUGUCUGGCUUCCCCAGCUGGACUGGGAAGUCAAAGGGCAGAGUCAGCAAGGCCGUCGCUCGCUGCUCCUCCCCUUAUGGGUCUAGGGAGAAGCCCACCCACAUCAGAGCCUGAACUCCUUAGGAAGAGGCCUGGAGAAAUGGGGGGAGGCGGAGCCUGCUGAUCCUCAUCUGGCAGGGGAGGGGCCAUCAGAAGGUCCUAUUUGGGGGCAGGUCCCCGGCCUUCUGAGCCUUCCACUCCUGUCCCAGGAAGCCCUUCUGGAGCCUCUCCCUUUGUUUCUUAUUUAUUCCUCUUUCAGAGGGACCCCAGGUUCCAGGGACCGACUGAGCCCCGGACCCCGCUGGGGCCUCUGGCCUGUUCCCGGGAGGAGUGCUCUCUCCCGGCCACGACUAUGCAACUCUCCCGGGCAGAGGGGCCGGGACUGCCAGCCAGGCGCCUAUUGGCCACCACUACCUCCUCCACCGCGCUUUUGCAUGCCCGGGCGAGGACCGAAGCACACACCUCCGCGCGCACCGGCCCGGCCCCCUCUGCUUUAAGCACACGCCUCUUCCCACGUCCCUCUGUGUUCCCUUUGUGGGCAAGAGCCCUGGACGCUCAGACCUCCUUCCCCUCCCCCUAGCCACAAAAGAGGGUGGAGACUGCAGACCGCCCCAGGUUGCUCUCUAGGGCUUCGGAGGGGGUGGAGCUUCAUUGAGCCCCAGGCUCCCGGAGGGAGGCUGCAGAGAUGGUGGGAGAGAGAGGGGUCACCAGAAGCAAUUAUGGAGGGUGCUGACCCUGUAAAUAGGAACUUCUGACAGCAAUAAUUUCCCAUGCAUGCUAAAUCUUUUGGACCCUCCCUUGUCGUACCCCCAACUCACCCCCUCACCCCUAUUCCUUUCCCAUCUUCAGCAGUAUUACUUGUAACGCAAUUCAGGGAUAUUAAAGGGACUUUGGCCACUC